CUUGGAAGGGGAAAAAAAGCGGGUUCGAGUGUAAGGGGGGGCGCGCUGAGCCCUGACAAGGUGGGAAAAUUAAUGCAACGUGGGCAGGCGCCGAGCUCUGCUCUACAACAGAACCGCUGAGGCGGCUGAGGGAAACCCAGACGCCGUGGGUCCUGCCGGGCUGUGUACCUCUAGUGCUUCUCUUUGGUGAAACAACGUUGCGUGUGAAUCCAGCAGCUGGAUUACAGCAGGGCUGAACGUUGCAUGUUGGCAUGUAUAAAUCUGCCCUUACCAUUUUCGAAUCGUCAAGGUGAGACCACAAAAGGAAGGGGUCUGUAAAGUGACCAGGUCCUUGCACAUCGUCUGUUCUCUUUCAUGGAAACAGCCACCAGCCAGCAGAGAUUACACCAAAUCCUGCAGCCAUCCCCAGUUAAAACUCCCACUGCAGUUCAUGAAAGCUUUGCACGCAGAAAUAUUUAUACCAUCUCUUUAAUAUAAAUAUUUAACCAGCAUCCAGUGCUGAUCAUCCCCGCCUUCUGCUCGUUGUAAUAACUGAUGCUUACAAUUAACUUUGCUGGGAAACAGGUUGGCCUCUUCUGUUGUGUCUCUGCUUUCUUCGCUGUUAGGUUGGAUGCUGUAGGUUAGAGCCUUACAGGGCCCUAGGGACUGUGGCUCUACCAUCUGUUAUGCUGCCACUACUUUAGACACCUCCAUUUCAAACCCCUUCCCUCCUCUUGGCUUCACUCUGUAAGCACAAGCUCUUGGGCUGCCUUCUUCAGGGCAAACACAAGGCAAGGAGCUGCUGCAGAGGCCAGCGGCUCUUCUGCACCUUCGAGCCCAGAGGCUACCCUUUUCUUGGCCUGCAGCUCCUUUACAGGCCCCAGUGAGGCCUCACAAUUUUCUUGUGGCCCACUUUCUGGAAAGCGUGGCUCAGAAAUGGCAGCAUAAACCACCCCUGCUCUGAUAGCCGCCUGGCUCCCCUAACCCAGAGCAGGUGGUCACGCAUCGGCUGUGCCAGCAACAGGACCCCGAGCCCUGCUCUUAACUGAGCACUCUAUACAUGGCCCUGCAGAAAUGCCUUAGCUCUUUUAAUUCUCAGUUUUGAUUAUUCCAUGCAAACUGAAAGAGUUUCACCCUAAAUUAACUGGUAGCUGACAGACUAAGACACCGGUCAGGAAGCACUGGGCUUGUUUCUCUUUGGACCACAGACCUAACCGAACCCUCUCACAUCUUUGCCGAACAGCCUUAUGGCAGGGCUCAGAGCAGAGGGCUCUGGCUUUAUUUUAUCAGAAGGGGGUGGUAUAGGCCUCUUACUCCAGGACUGCAAGUCCCAGUUGCUUUUCUCAAGCAGACGGCUGCACUUCCCUGCAACCUAGAGAUGAAUGAGGCUUAAAACCCAUCGUCUCAGUAUUUGUGUUUGUCUGGCAUUGGUGACUCUGCCAAUUCUGUUUUCAGGUGCCUCUGCUACCAAUUGUGAUGCCAGUAUGGGUUCCUGGGAGCUCAAGUAAUGGGCUUAAGGACAUGGACAGGGCCUUUAAGGAUCAAACCAUAGCUGUGACUGGGCACAAUCCUCUGAGUCCUCCAGCCCUAGCCCUUCUCGGAUAAGCAAUACAGAAAAU